rnacentral:misc_RNA from 1 species
UUGAGUAUAUUCCAAGAAGGUAAAAGUGGUGGGAAAGAUACUCUAAAACUGGAAACAAAUGGUGAAGUUGGCAAGGAAACUGAAGGGGAAGAGGCUGUUGGUGCAAAGACUGAAUCAAAGUCUGAAACCCCAGCAACUGAAAAUAAGGGUGAAAUAGAGAAAUCUGCUUCUGGAGUGAAGAAGGAUGGGGAGAAUCCACCUCCAGCUAAAGCCCCUGAAGUUCCUCCUGACAAUGAAUUCGAGAAACGAAUCAGGCCAGAGGUUAUCCCUGCAAGCGAGAUUGGAGUGACAUUUGCAGAUAUUGGUGCCUUGGAUGAAAUUAAAGAAUCACUUCAGGAGCUCGUCAUGCUCCCUCUUCGAAGACCAGACCUCUUCAAAGGUGGGCUUCUUAAGCCUUGUAGAGGCAUAUUACUAUUUGGGCCUCCAGGCACAGGAAAAACAAUGCUAGCCAAGGCCAUAGCAAACGAGGCUGGAGCAAGUUUCAUUAAUGUCUCAAUGUCUACCAUCACUUCAAAAUGGUUUGGUGAAGAUGAAAAGAAUGUCCGAGCGCUGUUUUCACUUGCUGCAAAGGUCUCCCCAACUAUCAUAUUUGUUGAUGAGGUUGAUAGCAUGCUUGGGCAGCGGACCAGAGUUGGUGAGCAUGAGGCCAUGCGGAAGAUAAAAAAUGAGUUCAUGACGCAUUGGGAUGGACUGUUGACAAAACCUGGUGAGCGAAUUCUUGUCCUUGCUGCUACCAACAGGCCAUUUGACCUUGAUGAAGCAAUUAUCAGGAGGUUUGAGCGCAGAAUUAUGGUUGGCCUUCCAUCAAUUGAGAGCAGGGAAAUGAUCUUGAAGACUCUUCUGGCAAAAGAGAAAACUGAAGAUCUGGACUUCAAGGAACUUGCAACCAUGACAGAAGGAUAUAGUGGAAGUGAUCUUAAGAACUUGUGUGUGACAGCUGCUUAUCGACCUGUUAGAGAGUUAAUACAGCAGGAAAGAUUGAAAGAUAAAGAAAUAAAGCAGAAAGCUGAAGAAGGCACAAGCUCAGACGAUGCUUCAGGUACAAAAGAAGAAGACAAAGAGGAAAGAGUAAUUAUUCUGAGGCCUUUAAACAUGGAAGAUAUGAGGCAGGCUAAGAAUCAGGUUGCUGCAAGUUUCGCAGCUGAAGGAUCAAUAAUGAGCGAGCUAAAGCAAUGGAAUGAAUUGUAUGGAGAAGGAGGUUCAAGGAAGAAGCAACAAUUGACUUACUUCCUCUAGAUUGUAGAAAGCUGUCAUUUUAGAGGCAAAUCAGUAAUAGAAAGGAGAUCAAAGUUCAAGGAAAGCCAGCGCGCCGCAAGUGAAACCAGAAAUGUGAUUGUUCCAGGCAUACAACUGUGCAGCAGUGAAUAGAAAGCUGCAACACCAGUCAACAGAGUGAAAUUCUAGCAACUCCAGCAGAGCUUGUGUCAGGGUGCUGUGUAUUUUCUAAAAUCAUUGUCUGAAAUUUGUGCUCCAUGCAAACAAGAGAGGGUUCUAUUGUUUGUUUAGGCCAUCAUUGGAAACCACAUUUGGUAUUGUAAUUAUGUUGUGGAACUUGGAAAUGCAUACGGAUUUGUGGAAUUUAGGAGGAACCCUUUUAUAUUGGGUUUAUAUUUGCACCCUAUAAACUAUAUUAUCG